rnacentral:rRNA from 1 species
CGCUUAGUGACCUCACACUAAGUAAUUCCUGCUCGGUGUGAAUAUUAACAGCAGCGGUAUUUUGACCGUUCAAAGGUAGCAUAAUAAGCUUUUUAAUUGUAAGCCUGUCAACGGAGAAAAUGGACUUCAGUAGUUCAAAAGCUAUCUUUACCUAAAUUACCUGUAAAGUAAAAACCCUUUACUUUUUUAAAAAGACGAUAAGACCCUAGAAUUUUAUAAUUCUGCUUUAGAUGGGGAAUCUUUGGUAAAAAAAACCACCCUCAAAAUACUCUAGGGAUAACAGCCCCAUUUGAAAGUGACUUUCGAGAUUGGGACCUCGAUGUUGAAUUAAGGAAACAUUAUCCUCAGAAAGGAUUUUGUCAGGUCUGUUCGACCUAUAUUUACCUU